rnacentral:rRNA from 1 species
AGAGUUUGAUCCUGGCUCAGAUUGAACGCUGGCGGCAUGCCUAACACAUGCAAGUCGAACGGAAACGAUGGGAGCUUGCUCCCAGGCGUCGAGUGGCGGACGGGUGAGUAAUACUUAGGAAUCUGCCCAGUAGUGGGGGACAACUCGGGGAAACUCGAGCUAAUACCGCAUACGCCCUACGGGGGAAAGCGGGGGAUCUUCGGACCUCGCGCUAUUGGAUGAGCCUAAGUCGGAUUAGCUUGUUGGUGAGGUAAAAGCUCACCAAGGCGACGAUCCGUAGCUGGUCUGAGAGGACGAUCAGCCACACUGGGACUGAGACACGGCCCAGACUCCUACGGGAGGCAGCAGUGGGGAAUAUUGGACAAUGGGGGCAACCCUGAUCCAGCAAUGCCGCGUGUGUGAAGAAGGCCUGCGGGUUGUAAAGCACUUUCAGUAGAGAAGAAAAGCUUAGGGUUAAUAACCCUGAGUCUUGACGUUACCUACAGAAGAAGCUCCGGCUAACUCCGUGCCAGCAGCCGCGGUAAUACGGAGGGAGCGAGCGUUAAUCGGAAUUACUGGGCGUAAAGCGCGCGUAGGCGGCUUUGUAAGUCGGAUGUGGAAGCCCCGGGCUCAACCCGGGAAUGGCAUUCGAUACUGCAUAACUAGAGUAUGGUAGAGGGAAGUGGAAUUUCCGGUGUAGCGGUGAAAUGCGUAGAUAUCGGAAGGAACACCAGUGGCGAAGGCGACUUCCUGGGCCAAUACUGACGCUAAGGUGCGAAAGCGUGGGGAGCAAACAGGAUUAGAUACCCUGGUAGUCCACGCCGUAAACGAUGAGAACUAGAUGUCGGGAGAAUCUGUCUUUCGGUGUCGCA